AAAAUGGUUAAAGCUCAACAUGGUUAAAGCUCAACAUGGUUAAAGCUCAACAUGCCACAGACAGGUUUCUAGGUCUCUAACCUCUAACCUCUACUAAUGUACUGACAGGUUUCUAGGUCUCUAACCUCUAACCUCUACUAAUGUACAGACAGGUUUCUAGGUCUCUAA